UCCCAAGCAGACUCCCUGCUGAGCAGGGAGCAGAGGAAGGUUUCCUGUUGUCUCACAACCUGAAGAUCAUGAUCUGAGCUGAAAUCAAGAGCUGGACACUCAACCAAACACCAAUUGAUUUUCCAUUAGCUUAACUGGACAGGUAAACAUGAUCAGUCACAAUUAGUUUUACAACUUCAAUUAUUAUCAACCAAACUACUUUGGGGAUAAUUUCUGCUCUUAUGGUUGGGAUAAAUAAACAUAAAACAGGGAAGGGAGAAGAUUGAGCAAAAUGGUAAUAGAGAAUUGGAAAAGAAUGUUUAUGCUAAUUCCAUUUUUCUAUCACCCCAAGAACACAUAAAUAAGCAAACAGGUGUCUUAGCACUGGAUAGGUAGUAAAGUACUCUGCAGGUUGAUUUCUUCCCCUGCACUGAGGCCGAUGCUAUGCUGAACAGGUGACAUAAAGACAUAAACCUACUCUGUUCCCUAGAUCAGGCGUGAGACCCUCUGAAGCAUAGCACUUGUGUGUGUGAUGCUUCUACAUAAGACCACUUUCUGCAUAAAACUGAUCCAAGACACUCUGUUUAAAGUUACUUCCUUGUCCUUGGUCAGAUGAAAGAGCUUGUUAAUAUAGAACCCCUGCACCAUCCACCUGAACUGACAGUGCCAUAUUUCCUUUAUUCAUCAUCAGGGGUCCUGGGGCCACCUUCAUCUAGCUAUGGCAGCACCAUCAGGAGCUACAUGGUUCAUUAGGAAGCCACCAGCUUCUGGAGGAGUUAUGAGGUCUUUUAUCUUCCAGGGAGCUAGAUUUUUGGCUGCAAUGGACUCUGAAGCAGGACUGAUCCUCUGGGUAUUAGUGACGUUACCUGGGACAAACAAAAUGACACUAUGAGGAAACAAUCAGACAAAUCCAGAAUGGGGGACAAGAGUACUCCUAGCCUUGGUCUCUUCAAAAAAUUCUGAGAGCAUCUACCAUUGAAGAAGCAUUAUACACCCAAGUAGAAUGACUUAGCCAGUUAGCCAAAAUUUAAAGUGUCAGACAGCCUUUCCAUCAGCCACCCCAGUACUGGCACAGCUGAUUCAUGAACAGAGAAGACAUGGUAACAAGGAGGAAAGCUAGACAUGGGUCCAGCAGCAUGAUCUCCCACUGUCCUGCUGGCAACAGGAAUCAUUGCUGACACUCAAUACUGACACUCAAUCCCUUGAAGAUACCAAACAGCCCCUUGCUGAAAAGGAAACCAUAUUGGACUCCUCCCACCCUGGAUGAGGCAGUCAUUCAUUUCAGCAUGAAUAGACUCAUGUGCUAUGGGUUUGCCCUUCCUGCCUGCUGAGCCUCAGCCAACAUGACUGUCCAAGGGCUUCCGUUGUAUUUGAUCCACCAUUAUGGCACCCCACAUAUCAUUGCAUCCAAUCAAGGAACCCAUUGCAUAGCAGAGGAGAUGUGGCAGUGGGCAUAUGGCUGUGGAAUCCACUUGGGACCCAUCCCACGGCAUACCACCCAGAAAGCUUGGCUGAAGUACCAGCUUGGAGAUGAUAUCCCAUGAAUAAAGUGCCGCCCUCCAAGGUGCAGUCAUGCUCUGAAUCAGUCACCAUUGGAUGAUGCUGUAUCCAUCACAGAAGAACACCUGCGAGUGGGAUCAAAGGUGUUGAAGCAGAAGAGUCUCUAUAUACCAUCAAUCCCAGUGACCCACUUGGGGGAAUUUGUGCUUUUCAUCCUCACAAGUAUAAUCACAGGCUUAAAGUUCUUGGUUCCCACAGGGGAAAUAUUUAUACCAGGAAACACAGCAAGAGUCUUCAGUGAACUUAAAGCUAUACCACCACCCAGCAUUUUGGGCCCUUCAGGCCCAAUUCCAGCAGGCCAGCAAAAGGUCCUCAUGGGGUAGUUGACUCUUGUUAUUAAGAGGCAGUAGAGCUACGAUUACACGGUGGAGACAGGGAGGCAUAUGUUUGGUGUCCCAGUAAUAACUAGGGCAUCUUUUAGUACUUGUGCAAUGUUGAUGGCAAAUGGACAAGGGCAGCAGGUGCAGCCCAAGAAGGACAUGAUAAAUAGGAACUGGAACUCACCAGUUUUAAGAACCUGUCACUCCACUAGGUAAGUCACCUAAAUCUUCAGAGGUGCUAAUCAACAGUGAGGAGAAUCUAAAACGGACUGCAGAAGAGAGAGGGGAUGAGUACUGCUUGCAGACUAAUGCCAGCUACAACAGCAGGGGGGUGUCGUUCAUC